UAUGGUGACUAUUGCGGUGGGGAUCACCUCUUCCCAUUCCGAACAGAGUCGUUAAGCCCACCUGCGCCGAUGGUACUGGGUCCGCCCCGGGAGAGUAGGUCGUCGCCAUCC
rnacentral:rRNA from 1 species